AGGAUGGGCUUGCGUAGCAUAGCUAGUUGGUGGGGUAAUGGCCUACCAAGGCUUCGAUGUUUAACUGGUCUGAGAGGAUGAUCAGUCACACUGGAACUGAGACACGGUCCAGACUCCUACGGGGAGGCAGCAGUAGGGAAUAUUGCGCAAUGGGCGAAAGCCUGACGCAGCAACGCCGCGUGAGUGAGGAAGGUCUUCGGAUUGUAAAGCUCUGUUAAGGUAGAAAAACAGAUUACGGUCGAACAGGCCGUGAUCCUGAUGAUAUAUCUAGAGGAAGCACCGGCUAACUUCGUGCCAGCAGCCGCGGUAAUACGAAGGGUGCGAGCGUUGUUCGGAUUUAUUGGGCGUAAAGCGCGCGCAGGCGGAUUAUUAAGUCAGGUGUGAAAUCUCGGGGCUUAACCCCGAAACUGCGCCUGAAACUGUUAAUCUAGAAUGUCGGAGAGGGCAGGGGUAUUUCUUAUGUAGGAGUAAAAUCCGUAGAGAUAAGAAGGAACACCGGAGGCGAAGGCGCCUGCCUGGACGACUAUUGACGCUGAGGCGCGAAAGCGUGGGGAUCAAACAGGAUUAGAUACCCUGGUAGUCCACGCUGUAAACGAUCUGCACUAGAUAUUGUGGGAUUUGACCCCUGCAGUGUCAAAGCUAACGCAUUAA
rnacentral:rRNA from 1 species